GAUGAAGAACGUAGCGAAAUGCGAUAAGUAAUGUGAAUUGCAGAAUUCAGUGAAUCAUCGAAUCUUUGAACGCACCUUGCGCCCCUUGGUUAUUCCAAAGGGCAUGCCUGUUUGAGUAUCAUGAACACCUCAACUCUUGUGGUUUCCCACAAUGAGCUUGGACUGUGGAGGUUUUGUUGGCCCUGUGGUCAGCUCCUCUCAAAUGGAUCAGCUUACCGGUGUUUGGUGGCAUUACGGGUGUGAUAACUAUCUACGCUCGUGGUCGUCUCCAAAUAACCUCCAGUGAUGGAGGUUCGCUGGAGCUUAUAAAUGUCUCUCCCCAGUGAAGACAGCCUUUGAACGUUCGAUCUCAAAUCAAGUAAGACUACCCGCUGAACUUAAGCAUAUCAAUAAGCGGAGGA
rnacentral:misc_RNA from 1 species